rnacentral:rRNA from 1 species
AGUGGCGGACGGGUGAGUAACGCGUAAGAAUCUAACUUCAGGACGGGGACAACAGUGGGAAACGACUGCUAAUACCCGAUGUGCCGCAAGGUGAAACCUAAUUGGCCUGGAGAAGAGCUUGCGUCUGAUUAGCUAGUUGGUGGGGUAAAGGCCUACCAAGGCGACGAUCAGUAGCUGGUCUGAGAGGAUGAGCAGCCACACUGGGACUGAGACACGGCCCAGACUCCUACGGGAGGCAGCAGUGGGGAAUUUUCCGCAAUGGGCGAAAGCCUGACGGAGCAACGCCGCGUGAGGGAGGAAGGUCUUUGGAUUGUAAACCUCUUUUCUCAAGGAAGAAGUUCUGACGGUACUUGAGGAAUCAGCCUCGGCUAACUCCGUGCCAGCAGCCGCGGUAAUACGGGGGAGGCAAGCGUUAUCCGGAAUUAUUGGGCGUAAAGCGUCCGCAGGUGGUCAGCCAAGUCUGCCGUCAAAUCAGGUUGCUUAACGACCUAAAGGCGGUGGAAACUGGCAGACUAGAGAGCAGUAGGGGUAGCAGGAAUUCCCAGUGUAGCGGUGAAAUGCGUAGAGAUUGGGAAGAACAUCGGUGGCGAAAGCGUGCUACUGGGCUGUAUCUGACACUCAGGGACGAAAGCUAGGGGAGCGAAAGGGAUUAGAUACCCCUGUAGUCCUAGCCGUAAGCGAUGGAUACUAGGCGUGGCUU